ACUUACCCACUAGGUCCAUCCAGGCAUAAGUAUUUCAAAGGAGGAAAGGUAACCACUACUAAUGCAACUAAUACUAUGCCUGCAAGAAAGAAGUCAGUAGAUAUAUAAUUUCAAUGCAAUAAUGGAAAUGCAUGCAUGCUCCAAUCAUAAUCAAACUUUGGCUCUUACCCAAUCUUACCGGUUAACUCUGUUAACCACAAUAACUCACAACCCAAAAUCCCUUAAUAACGGGGCUCUCGAACCUCCCUAGGGACCGUCAACU
rnacentral:lncRNA from 1 species